GUAGGUGAACCUGCGGAAGGAUCAUUACAGAGAAAUUGCCCUUCGGGGUAGAUCUCCCACCCUUUGUUUACAUUACCUAUGUUGCUUUGGCAGGCCCGUCUGUUGACCACCGGCUUAGGCUGGUCCGCGCCUGCCAGAGGACCCCAAACUCUUGAUUUUUGUGUUGUCUGAGUAAUAUUAUAAAUAAAGUUAAAACUUUCAACAACGGAUCUCUUGGUUCUGGCAUCGAUGAAGAACGCAGCAUCUGACU
rnacentral:misc_RNA from 1 species